UGNNAAUCGAACGGUAACAGGAAGCAGCUUGCCGCUUUGCUGACGAGUGGCGGACGGGUGAGUAAUGUCUGGGGAUCUGCCUGAUGGAGGGGGAUAACUACUGGAAACGGUAGCUAAUACCGCAUAACGUCGCAAGACCAAAGAGGGGGACCUUCGGGCCUCUUGCCAUCAGAUGAACCCAGAUGGGAUUAGCUAGUAGGUGGGGUAACGGCUCACCUAGGCGACGAUCCCUAGCUGGUCUGAGAGGAUGACCAGCCACACUGGAACUGAGACACGGUCCAGACUCCUACGGGAGGCAGCAGUGGGGAAUAUUGCACAAUGGGCGCAAGCCUGAUGCAGCCAUGCCGCGUGUAUGAAGAGGGCCUUCGGGUUGUAAAGUACUUUCAGCGGGGAGGAAGGCGAUACGGUUAAUAACCGUGUCGAUUGACGUUACCCGCAGAAGAAGCACCGGCUAACUCCGUGCCAGCAGCCGCGGUAAUACGGAGGGUGCAAGCGUUAAUCGGAAUUACUGGGCGUAAAGCGCACGCAGGCGGUCUGUCAAGUCGGAUGUGAAAUCCCCGGGCUCAACCUGGGAACUGCAUCCGAAACUGGCAGGCUUGAGUCUUGUAGAGGGGGGUAGAAUUCCAGGUGUAGCGGUGAAAUGCGUAGAGAUCUGGAGGANUACCGGUGGCGAANGCGGCCCCCUGGACAAAGACUGACGCUCANGUGCGAAAGCGUGGGGAGCAAACAGGANUAGAUACCCUGGUAGUCCACGCCGUAAACGAUGUCGACUUGGANGUUGUGCCCUUGANNCGUGGNUUC
rnacentral:rRNA from 1 species